rnacentral:rRNA from 1 species
AUGGAAAUAUGGAGUGAAUUGUCUACAAUGAAUCUUAACAACUCACAAAAUGAUGCCAUCCUGAACUGCAUUUCAGCAAUGCUCUCCAACAGCAGCAGCAGUUUAAGCCUUAUCUGGGGACCUCCUGGCACAGGAAAGACUAAAACAAUCACUGUACUCUUGUGGUUAAUGAGGAAACUGAAACAUGGUACACUUACAUGUGCACCGACAAACCUUGCUGUUAAACAAGUUGCUUCAUGUUUCUUAAGGUUGAGCAAAGAGAACCCUCUGGAUACAAGUUGCUUAGGAGAUGUUCUGUUGUUUGGCAAUAAACAUCGCAUGUGUGUUGAAGAUGAUCUGAAAGAGAUUUACUUACAUGAUCGUGUAAGGAAGCUUCUUGUUUGCUUUGCACCAUUGACUGGAUGGAGACAUUGUCUGUCUUCCAUGUACGAUUUUCUUGAGAAUGGUUACUCCCAGUACCUUCGAUAUUCUGAAGAACAAAAGGAGGAGAAUAAACCUUCCUUUUUGCAUUACACCAGGAAAAAACUUGAUGUUAUUUAUCCUGAGCUCCAAAGAUGUUUCAAACAGCUACUAUUUCAUGUCCCCAAAUCUUGUAUUUUGGAGGUGAAUUACAAUAACAUCAUUUCACUUCUCGAACUGCUUGAAGAUUUCAAUACACUCCAGAGGAAAACUACCAGGGUUGAGAUAAAGGAAGUUUUCUUGUAUAAAGAUGUUCCAAGGAAAUCCAGCAUGGGCAUUCUUCCCAAGACAGUGAUAACCAUCGGCAAAACCAGAAUUAAAUGCCUUGAGCUGCUAAAGAUGCUAUUAAGUUGCUUGAAACUUCCUAUAACAUCCUCCAAACGCACCAUCCGAGAAUUCUGUAUGGAAAGUGCCAGCAUAAUUUUCUGCACUGUUUCUAGCUCUUCCAAAGUAACAAGCAAUAAAAAACUAGAGUUGCUUGUUGUCGAUGAGGCUGCUCAGUUGAAAGAAUGUGAAACAUUGAUCCCUUUGCGUUUGCCUGCAUUGAAGCAUGCUAUCCUCAUUGGUGAUGAGUGUCAACUACCAGCAACAGUUGUUAGUAAGGUUUGCAAGGAUGCAUUAUUUGGGAGAAGUCUCUUUGCGAGGUUGAGUUCACUGGGACAUGAAAAGUAUCUGCUUAACAUGCAAUACAGAAUGCAUCCAUCCAUUAGCAUUUUUCCAAACAGCAGCUUCUAUGGCGGGCAACUCUUGGAUGCUCCUAGUGUCAUGCAAAAAGAACACCAAAAGAAGUAUCUUCCAGGUUCUAUGUUUGGUACUUACUCUUUCUUCAAUAUUGAAGAUAGUUGGGAGGAUGUCGACGAACUUGGUCAUAGCAGGAAGAACGUGGUUGAAGUUACCAUUAUCCAGGAAAUCUUGCAAAAUCUCCGAAGAGCUUGUUCUAAGACUAUGAAGAAGGUCACAGUUGCUGUCAUAUGCCCAUACUCUGCUCAAGUUCUAGCAAUUCAAGAAAAACUGAGGAAAAUAAAGUUUGGCCCCUUGUCAGUAAAAAUUAGUUCUGUUGAUGGCUUCCAAGGUGGCGAGGAAGACAUAAUCAUUUUAUCAACUGUCAGGUCCAACUCUGAUGGGGUGGUAGGGUUUGUUUCAGAUCGACAACGUACAAACGUAGCUUUGACAAGAGCAAGACAUUGCCUUUGGAUUUUGGGAAAUACCGCAACCCUAUCCAGGAGUGGUUCUAUCUGGGCAGAUCUAGUGCACAAUGCCAAGGAACGGCAGUGUUUCUUCAAUGCAAAAAGUGAUGGGGCUAUUUCUCGUGUGAUUGCUAAGCAUGAGAGUGAGCUCAGUUCAGUUAAAGACAAAAGUGUUACACCUUUACAAGUUAAAAAUAACACUGUUCGGGUUCAGGCACCAUCUCGAACUCGUAAGGGGCAGAAACGUCAACGACACCCUUCUUAUGUGGUCCAUCUCAUGCUGGGAGUCGUCAACGAGGCGGUGUUGCCUCCAGUCCCGAUCCACAUCGCCGAAAGGAUAAAGGGAUCGUUGAAGAUCUCAUUGCUUCCUUCAGCAGUCUUAGACUCCGUUGAAGUACUACUGGCGGCGUGA